GGAAAGGUGAAAAGAACCCCGAACAGGGGAGUGAAAUAGAACCUGAAACCAUACGCUUACAACCGGUCGGAGCAGCUUCGUGCUGUGACGGCGUGCCUAUUGAAUAAUGAGCCUACGAGUUACUAAUCACUAGCGAGGUUAAGUGCAAGGAUGCACGGAGCCGAAGCGAAAGCGAGUCUGAACAGGGCGUUUAGUUAGUGGUUGUAGACGCGAAACCUUGCGAUCUACCUUUGAGCAGGUUGAAGGUUGGGUAAAACCAACUGGAGGACCGAACGAAUAAGCGUUGAAAAGCUUCUCGAUGACUUGAGGGUAGGGGUGAAAGGCUAAUCAAGCUGGGAAAUAGCUCGUACUCCCCGAAAUGCCUUUUGGGGCAGCGUUGUAAUAAAGAGUCUACUGGAGGUAGAGCUACUGAUUGGAUGCGGGGGCUUCACCGCCUACCAAAUCCUGACAAACUCCGAAUGCCAGUAGUAUGAUUUACAGCAGUGAGUGACUGGGUGCUAAUGUCCAGUCGCAAAAGAGGAACAACUCAGACCAGCAACUAAGGUCCCGAAGAAUAUGCUAAGUUGAUCUAACGAUGUUUUGUUGCAGAGACAGCUAGGAUGUUAGCUUGGAAGCAGCUAUUCAUUCAAAGAGUGCGUAACAGCUCACUAGUCGAGCGACAGAGCGUGGAUAAUAAACGGGCAUCAAGCAUAUCACCGAAGUUCUGGGCGCGAGAGCGCGGUAGGGGAGCAUUCCAUUCAGCGUCGAAGCAGUUUCGUGAGGAAUUGUGGAGCGUAUGGAAAAGCAAAUGUAGGCAUGAGUAACGAUAAUGCGGGAGAGUAACCCGCACACCGCAAGACCAAGGUUUCCUGAUCAACGCUAAUCGGAUCAGGGUUAGUCGGGUCCUAAGGGUAAGCCGAACGGCGAUCUCGAUGGAUAAUCGGUUAAUAUUCCGAUACUAACAUAUACCUCGAUGGAGAGACGAAGGAACGUAAGUGCCGCCACCUGACGGAAUAGGUGGUUAAAGGGCGUAGGUAUAGGGGCAGAUUAAGAGUUAGUCCUUGCUGAAACCUGACAGUACAGAGAGCCUACGGGCAAUUUGAUAGAGCACCCAAGUCGACUUCCGAGAAAAUCUUCUAAGUUAUAGUAUAUGUUACCCGUACCGUAAACCGACACAGGUGGUCGAGGAGAGUAUCCUAAGGUGCUCGAGUGAAUCACGGUUAAGGAACUAGGCAAAUUAACCCCGUAACUUCGGGAAAAGGGGUCCCUAUGAAAGUAGGGCGCAGCGAAGAGGUCCAGGCGACUGUUUAUCAAAAACACAGGGCUCUGCAAAUUCGAAAGAAGACGUAUAGGGCCUGACACCUGCCCGGUGCUGGAAGGUUAAGAGGGGAUGUCAUCGCAAGAGAAGCAUUGAAUCGAAGCCCCAGUAAACGGCGGCCGUAACUAUAACGGUCCUAAGGUAGCGAAAUUCCUUGUCGGGUAAGUUCCGACCUGCACGAAUGGUGUAACGAUCUGGACACUGUCUCAACCGUGAGCUCGGUGAAAUUGUAGUCCCGGUGAUGAUGCCGGGUACCCGCAACGGGACGAAAAGACCCCGUGAACCUUUACUAUAGCUUAACGCUGAAUUUGGGUACACAAUGUGUAGGAUAGGCCGGAGGCUUUGAAGCGGGCACGCCAGUGUUCGUGGAGCCGACGUUGAAAUACGGCCCUUUGUGUAUUUGAGUUCUAACCCUGCGAAGGGGACACCGUUUGGUGGGUAGUUUGACUGGGGUGGUCGCCUCCAAAAGCGUAACGGAGGCUUCCCAAGGUACCCUCAGCACGAAUGGUAACCGUGCGCGGAGUGCAAUAGCAUAAGGGUGCUUGACUGUGAGACAUACAAGUCGACCAGGUACGAAAGUAGGGUAUAGUGAUCCGGUGGUUCUGCGUGGACUGGCCAUCGCUCAAAGGAUAAAAGGUACUCCGGGGAUAACAGGCUGAUCGCCGCCAAGAGCUCAUAUCGACGCGGCGGUUUGGCACCUCGAUGUCGGCUCGUCACAUCCUGGGGCUGGAGAAGGUCCCAAG
rnacentral:rRNA from 1 species